UACGGAGGUGGCAAGCGUUGUUCGGAAUUACUGGGCGUAAAGCGCGCGCAGGCGGUCUUCCAAGUCAGUGGUGAAAGCCCGGAGCUCAACUCCGGAACUGCCAUUGAAACUGUUAGACUUGAGGACGAGAGAGGUGAGUGGAAUUCCCAGUGUAGAGGUGAAAUUCGUAGAUAUUGGGAAGAACACCGGUGGCGAAGGCGGCUCACUGGCUCGUAUCUGACGCUCAGGCGCGAUAGCGUGGGGAUCAAACAGG
rnacentral:rRNA from 1 species